GGACCCUUGGCGCAGUGGCUAGCGCGUGUGAUUCCAGCUAACGUUUCCACAAGGUCGUCCGUUCAAUCCGGGCAGGGUUCA